UGCCGAAACCGAGAUCGAACCAGGGACCUUUAAAUCUUCAGUCUAACGCUCUCCCAACUGAGCUAUUUCGGU